rnacentral:tmRNA from 1 species
GGGGUUGAAAAGAAUUUCGACAGAAACUGGAUUGCUUAAGUGCAUGUGAGCUGACAAGCUCUAAAACUGUCGCAUUGAAUUAAACGCAAACAACACAAAUUACGCUCCAGCUUACGCAAAAGCCGCGUAAGUUUAUAACUCCUUUGGAGCCGAUAGAAAUAGGGUUUCUAGCGCUUUGUCUUCUAUCGUAAUCUUGCUAGAUGCUUGCUUUAAUGUAUUCGGUUGGAGCAAAAAGAUUAAGAAUUGCUUAUUUGGCGGAGUUUGGAGAUUUACUUGCCAAAUAAAAAGAUAAAAAAUCUCGUCUAAACAUGUAGAUUCUUAAGAGGGUUUGGUUUUUGGACUGGGGUUUGAUUCCCCACAACUCCACCA